rnacentral:lncRNA from 1 species
GGUAAUAAAUAGGAAAAUUGUUGUGUGCAUUUAUUAACUUUAAUAAUGUUCUUCUCAAUGGUUCAACUUCAACAAUCAUUUUAUAUAACAUUCAAAUGUUCAGGUGUUUGAUUUAUCAUUACUUUGGAUCCAACUAAAUCUCUGUAGUUUUUUCGUUUCGAUACAUUUUUCGUGUAUUAAACUAAACGUUAAUUUUUUUAAAACUCCAGGGCCUCCUCCAGCUACCACUAACGGCUUCACAAUGAGAGAUCAUCAGAAUUGUGAUCGGCAAAUUGACGAAGCAGUCAAACAACAAAUUCGCAACAUUUAUAAACUAAAAUGGGCAUAGUAGCUCAAACGAAGCAAUCAACUUCGCAACAUUUACGAACUACAAGCUCGUUCAUCAGUUCCGGAGAAUCACAGAGGUAGUUAAGCAAAGCAUUUCGACAAAACUUGAAAAUUUCAAUGAUUUCGACAAAAAUGAAAUUUAAGCCAACAACGGGUUCCGAUAAAGUAAGAAGAAUCAAAGGCAAUCAUAGAUGAUAAUGAAUCACAAAAACCAAAGAGAUUGUAACCCACACAAUAUCAAUUGGAAAAUCGAAAUUUCGAAACCUAGAAAUCGAAAAAGUUACCGGGACCUCUAGAGGAGUCGAAAUUGGAGGGCUUCUGGAUAGGGGUUUUGCUGGGCUGAAGUGGAAGCUACGGCGACCUUGCCUUUGCGGCAAUGAUAAGCGAUGGGAAUCAAAUUAAUCAAUCAUUCUUUCAAGUGAAACCUUCGAAAUAAGAUGAAAACAAGGAUUCGAGACCUAACUGGUACUAGCCGACGAUGAAGAGUGACGGCGACAGAGCAACCACGGUUGGAGGCGGCGAAAUCAUCCAGUGGAAGGGGGGAUCGCUGGUGGAAGGUGGAUCACUGGAGGCUGCUGCUAUUAUUUUUUUUCAAAUCUUCGAUUUCCACAAUGAUGAAUGAGGAUGAAGAGCCCGUGAUUUAUGACAUCCGAUUAGAAGGGGUUUUUCUGUGAAACCGUU